rnacentral:lncRNA from 1 species
GAUGUGGAAAACCAUCCAUUUGCCUUGCACAGUACAGCUACGGUUAACCACUGCUAAUUGCAACAGCUACCAGAGCAAUCAUUCGGAGCCAGACCGCUUCAGAGAGCUUCAUCUUCAGUACAGAGAGGGCAGGCCGUUGUGUCAAAACACCGACUUCUUUCCCUUGCUCUUCUCACUUCAGCACAGUGUCCUUGACAAGCCAGAAAUCCGCCCAUUCACUGUUUCAAGCAAUUAAAAUGAUGACACAGCCAUCAACCCCCACACAACCAGUUGGCGAAAGCACUAUGCAAUGGAAACUCCGGUCUUCCGCAAGUAAAUUUGUAUGUAGUUUGGCAGAGAGCAGCCCUGCUGACUUCCCAGGCCGAUGCUGCUUUGUUACUCAAACAUAAGCGUCUAAAACCAGCAUUAGGCACCGAGAGCCGCGCCAAAGCCGACUGCUGUCGUCGUAUAAUAAAACAGCAUGUUGAGGUUUGCUAUUCUAAUUG